AUGGUCUCGACUUGUCAUGUUUCUAGGUGCUCGAAUUCAAAGAGUAAACUUUAAGCGGGAGUGAGUUACUUUUGAUUUCCGAUAAGGGUUCCAAGGCUUUGUAGGCAGUGGCUAAUGGCAGCAAAGACUCCAAAAGUAAAUAUGGAGAGAAUUCCACGAAAAACUGUGUUUGGAGUCAACGCUUCCAACUGGAUGGCCACAAACAUAGUGUUUUAGGCCAAAUGAAGGGGAAAAUCUGAAAGAAACUGCCAUUCCAUCAGUCCUGCCAGAAGCAAAAUAGUGUUGCAUACAGCUGGGAGUUGAAGGUGACCACAGCAGUAGAAUCAUAUAGUCACUGCCACCAUGGACCUAAUUAGAACCUUCCACUGACCCCUAGUGAGAGCGAACGGGAGACGUCACACGCCUCGACCAACAAGACAGACCCGUCCUGAGGCGUUUCCCCAUGUCCGCACUCUCAGAUACAAAUGUCUGUACAAAAAGUCUGCGGUCGUGUCCUUGUUAUGGAUUUGCCAACCUUUCUUUGGAUUUUCUAGGGCUCAAGCCUUAGAGCUCCUUUCAGAGGAAAUGAGCAAAAGAUCUGAGAUUUGCUGCCUGUGGCCACACAGAGAGAUUUGAUAUGAAGAGACAAGGCGAGAAGCGAUCUGGUAAAGGAGGGAGGGAGGAGUCUGUCAUUGUUGGGUCAGAACAGUUGAUCAGCCUCAAGGCCUGCAACUGCAAGCUGUGAAGGAGUUGCAUCAUUGGAAUUGCUGCCAGGGCAAAGAAGCGCAAGAGAUAAAGGCAGCAAUGAAUGGAUGGUAGAUUGAAAUGAUGGAAGAGUGGGAACAAAGAUAGAAAGCUGCAUAACAAUGAGCUCCUUGCUUCUCCUGCAUGCGUUCCUGAACCUGAAAGAAGUGGCAAACUGUGAGUGCCCUUGUCAAAAAAAAGUACCCAUAACUGCUGGAGAAGUCUCCUGCUGUUACAAGGAA